AUUGAACGCUGGCGGCAGGCCUAACACAUGCAAGUCGGGCGAGAGGCGGACGGGUGAGUAAUGUAUGGGGAUCUGCCUGAUGGAGGGGGAUAACUACUGGAAACGGUAGCACAUACCGCAUACCAUGAGAUGCACCCAUAUGGGAUUAGAUAGUAGGUAAUGUAACGGCUUACAGAGGCGACUCUCCCUAGCUGGUCUGAGAGGAUUAUCAUCCACACUGGGACUGAGACACGGCCCAGACUCCUACGGUAGGCAGCAGUGGGGAAUAGUGCACAAUGGGCGCAAGCCGGAUGCAGCCAUGCCGCGUGUAUGAAGAAGGCCUUCGGGUUGUAAAGUACUUUCAGUCGGGAGGCGUUACCGACAGAAGAAGCACCGGCUAACUACGUGCCAGCAGCCGCGGUAAUUC
rnacentral:rRNA from 1 species